CCUUUAGCUAGCCUCAGAAACUGAACCUCAGUUUCCUCAUCUAUAAAAUGGGGAUAAUAACACCUGUUCACCGCAUGGCACAUCCGUGAAAGUCAAAUGGGCCAAACAGCAAGAGGAAAAUGGACAGAGAAUGGCCUGAGUGCCUAAGAGGACCCAGGUCUGUCUGGCUCCAGAGGUCAUGCUUGUUUCUGGCCCUUUGUCUUCCCCCAGGGUGAUGGUGGGUGAAGAGGAAGCCUAUAGACCCAGGGGGCACAGACUCAAACUGGCUAGACCAGUUGGCGGUAACAAUGGGGACAGUGGGGUGUUGUGGACAAACAGGAACAGGAAGGACCGUGGUAAACAGGAGUGGGUGCUGCCACUCAGCUCAUCUAACUGAGACUGUGUAGGAACGUGGGCCCUGCACUUCCAGAUCUUCUGACCUUUCAGAAUAAGCUAGAGGAGUGUGUGUGUUCUUCUACAAUGUAAAGCUCCUGGGUCUUAAAAUGCGGCAAUUAAUUCAAGUUGUAAAAAUCACUCUGUGGAUCAGACACAGCAAGUCAGAGGUUAAACUUGUCCUUAGCUUGUCAGUUUAUAAACAGUGCUGCCAACAGCUGAGAUGCUACUGGCACUCCUGCCCCGCCCUGGUGCCCUGUUCCAACCCUGACAGGCUGCAUCUGACUCUCCAGCAUGGGUUUAAUCAUCAGUAUUCAUCAAAAGCUCCCUAGGUGCUUCUCACAGCACCCAGCAUGGAUGCCUACGUGCUGUGUCCAGCAAUGGCCAGGACCCUUCAAAGAGGCUGAGCUGAGGUUGGGACUCUUGGUUUCUCACACAACUUACUUCCCCUCUCCUGCAACAUCCUCAGCUGAAUGCAUGUCUGUGUGUCUGAAUCUUCCACGACGGUGAAGCCAGGUGAGACCAUUAGAUUCCAAAUAAAAGGCAUCCCAACAAUAGCUGGACUUGAGAAAUUUAUCAAGUUUAGUUCCAAUCAGGUGAAGGAGGUUCAUGCUGAGAAGACUGUUCUCAUCACAACUAGCCUUUGCCUGAUGCCUUGGAAAGAGGCAGCAGCUCUGACUGGCUCUAAGCCUUGGUUGAGCGUUUCAGCAUUUCCUGCUUUGGGAUUAGCUUUCAGAUAAUUAGAUUUUAUUACUCAUUAGAUUUCAGAUGAUUAGAUUUGAUUACUCAUAGGAGGGCAGAUUCAAGAGCCAGCUGGGUGAAAGCGUUCAAAGGCCAACACAAAUCACAGGCAGCAGGACCCACUAGGCCAGGUCGUGUGGAAUCACAGGGUAGCCUGUUGACAGCUAGAAACCCCCAGCCUGGGCCACAGAACCUCACCUCCCUGCCUUGAGUCAUGGCCUCGAAGAGCAGGGCCACCACUAUCUGCAGUCAGAACCAAAGGCGUCCACAGCCACAGAGUCUCUCCCUGGAGACACAGGCUAUCAGAAGCUGCUGCCCACUUGCCCCGUGAGGAGGGACCACCUCUUCAGCCCCAGAGUGCAUCAGCCCUGGAAGCACUAGCCAAGUAGAGUCUUCUGCCAGAACUGGUCUGGGCCUGCUGGAAAUGUAUUCUCUCCGCUCCUCCUCCUGCCUGAAAUCCCACCCCUCUUGCUUCCCUGAGGGGGGCCUACCUGAGGAAGAGCAGGUAGACGGGGCCUUUCCCUCGGAUCUCUGCACACACCGGGCCUGGGCCUGGGCCUGCCUGCCAAACCAGAAGCAGGACUGAGGGCCAAGUGCUGUCUGUUCACCUUUGACUUUCGACAACUUCAGGCAACUUGAAACUAUGGCACGUGAAACCCAACUUCACAGCCCCUACGCUUCCCCAUGGUUGGUGAGCCUUCGAGGCACCUGUAGUGUAGUAGGCAUGUCCAGUCUUCCACGUGGAAGGAGCCCCAGCCCCUUGGUGGUGGCGGAUGACCCAGUGGUCCCUCCUACUUGAUGACUGAUGGUGUUGGUAAGUUAAAAUCAGGAACCUUCAAGGGGGCCAAUGCGGGGGUGGGGGGAUGAGGGAGGGAGGGAGGAAGAUGGUGAACAGCCCCACCUCUCCUGGUGAGGGAGCCUGCAUACCUGCUCCCUCCAUACAGCCCCUGAACCUUCUCCAAGGAAGCCACAGCCUCCUCACCUGGUCCCAUCCAGACAUUUCACUCUCACUCUAACACCUGAAACAUCCCCCUCCUCCAGGCAGCGUUGGGAGUGAUCGGAGAGCACCCCUACCCCUCAUACCAGGCAGGCCCAUCCCAGGCCCUUACCCUGCUGAGCACUCCCAGCUCACACGCGGUGAGGACAGCCAGCCCUGUGCUCCCCGGACAUGCUGCUGGACCCCAGGUCCCCUUUUCAGGAAUGCCUUUCCUUGGGAACCAUCUUGGAUGUGGCCCUAGAUGUGGUCUGUGAAUUUGCUGAUCCUGUUGCUUCAGUUCCUCUCUCAUGGCCAAGGAGGUUCCCAAGGCCAGCCCUGCUCUGUUCUUCCAUCACCACCACACAACCUUAGUUCUCAAAAGCCAGGAGCCUGGGCCCCAACCUUCUCAAGAGAAGACAGACAUCCCAAGAAAGGACACAGGCCAGUUCUUUUCUGCCCCCAGGCUGCCCUAUUCAGAGCCUCCUUUGCUGGGUGAGGGUGCACAGGCUGUGAAGGGCGCCCAGCCUCGGAGAAUGGUUCCUGACAAUCCCUCAUGGGCAGAUGAGCUCAGAGCAAGUUUCUCAUCUUCCUCUGUCACCCCUAGUCCACCCCCAUCCCUGACCUGGUCCAACGUGGGGAGAGGGAGGAGGGGUCAGAGGACGGCAAGGCCAAGGGGGUGGUGUGAAGGGAGCAGUGGGUGCAGGGGAGUGAGUGGUGCGCAGGAGCCCUGUGGCGAUGAUGCCGGCACGUAGGAUGAUGCGGCUGCCUGGUGCCUGGCCCUCUCCCCACAGUAUCAUUCAUCUAUCACCUCCACAGAGUCCUCGUCCUUCCUCUGCUCUGAGUGCUCCUCUGUUGUUUCUGUGUUCUCAGUGUCUGACAGCGAUGCCACCUGUCGCACCCAGCCACUGUCACUGAGAGGCUUUGGAUGACGCAGUCCGGAGAAGGGGUUGAACCAGUUCAGGGAAAAGUCCCCACCAAAGGAGCAAGGGUGCCCGGCCAGCUGCUGCGCAGUGACCAGGCUGCCCAGUGGCUAAGGGCCAAGGAGUAACAUCUCAGGCCUCUGCAGGCAUGAGCUGGGCCAUCUGUCCGGAGACCACCCAGAAAGACAACCCCUCCCCAAGUAUCCUGGGCCACUCCCCCUACAGCAGGCGCAGCAAACCCAGCACGAAGGAGGAUGAUGCAGUUAAGGGGGACAGCAGGAGACACACGAAGCGUGAGGAGAAACUGAGAUACACGUACAGACUGAGAUCUGGCCACACCUGGGCCAGUUCCUCUCCACCACUCUUUCUUCCCACACCAUCUCAGAGGUUUAAGUUUCUUGGCUUUUGGAAAAAUGGUAGGUUAAAGAACCUGAUCUCAAAGUAUCUCCUCAUAAGAUACUUCCUAAUUACCGAGGGUAAAACAGUACCUUUACAGUAAGGAAACUUCGCAGAUAUAACUUUAACCAAUUGAAGUUAACAUCACCAAUAAUGAAAUGUAUCAACAUCACGUGCCCUCCGAUACGGUGCCCCAAGAAGGACAGAACAUCACUUCACUGGUUUUCCUGCCCAAAAGGCAUAAUCUCAAUCUAAUUAUGUGAAAACUUCAGACAAAUGCAGAUGUCAGGAUAUUCCACAGAAUAUCUUCAACAGGAUAAUAAUCUUUAACAGGAUCAAAGUCUGAUGAAAUUGUUUUGGAACCAGACAGAAGUGGUGGUUGUACAAUAUUAUGAAUGUACUAAAUGCCACUGAACCACACACUUUAAAAUGGUUGCUUUUAUGUGAUGUGAAUUUAACCUCAACUAGAAAGAGGAUCAGGUUCAUGAAAGACAGAGAAAGACUGAGGAGGAACUAAAGACACAGGACAAAGGAUGCAAUGUGGCAUCCUGGAACAGAGAACGAUACUAGUGGGACAACUGGAGAACUCUGAAUAAAGUAUAUAGAUUGGUUAAUGGUAUUGUAUCAGUAAAUUUCCAGGUUUUUAUAUUUGUGUUAUGGUUUUAUAAAAUGUUUACACUUGGAAAGACUGAUUGAAAGGCAUAUGGGAGCUCUUUGUACUAUUUUUACUAAUUUUUUUUUUUUGGUUAAGUCUGAAAUUAUUUCUCAAU